rnacentral:rRNA from 2 species
CAUGGGGAGCAAACAGGAUUUGGUACCCUGGUAGUCCAUGCUAUAAACAAUGAAUAUUAAAUAUUAGAUCUUGAAGUCUAAUAUAUAUAGUUAACACGUUAAAUAUUUCGCCUGGGGAGUAAAACCGCAAGGUUGAAACUCAAAGGAAUUGACGGGAGCUUAUACUUACGGUGGAGCAUGUGGUUUAAUCCGAUAGUCCGCGUGGAAUCUUACCAAUUUUUGACAUUCAUUAAUUUUUAAAAAAUGAAACAGGUGUUGCAUGGCCGUUGUCAGCUUAUGUUUUGAAAUUUAAAUAUAAGUUUAACCCUUAGUUUAAUUUACUAAUAUUUGGACAUCUAAUUAAAUACCAAAUAAGUACUAUUAAAAAAAUAUAAUUUUUUAUAUUUUAAAGGAUGAAAAUAGGUCGUUAUGACCCUUAUAAAUU